AGAGUUUGAUCAUGGCUCAGAACGAACGCUGGCGGCGUGCCUAACACAUGCAAGUCGCGCGAGAAAAGGGGGGCAACUCCCUGAGUAAAGCGGCGCACGGGUGAGUAACACGUAGGUAAUCUACCCUCGAGUCCAGGAUAACCUACCGAAAGGUGGGCUAAUACCGGAUAUGACCACGGGAGUUUCGGCUCCUGCGGUGAAAGGUGGCCUCUGCUUGCAAGCUACUGCUCGGAGAUGAGCCUGCGGGCCAUUAGCUAGUUGGUGAGGUAACGGCUCACCAAGGCGAUGAUGGCUAGCUGGUCUGAGAGGAUGGCCAGCCACACUGGGACUGAAACACGGCCCAGACUCCUACGGGAGGCAGCAGUGGGGGAUAUUGCGCAAUGGGCGAAAGCCUGACGCAGCGACGCCGCGUGGGUGAUGAAGGCCUUCGGGUCGUAAAGCCCUGUCGAGGGGAACGAAACGGUCUCGACCUAACACGUCGAGUCCCUGACGGUACCCCU
rnacentral:rRNA from 1 species